CUGUGGUUUUUUUUCCUAUUUAGAGGCCCCUUGUAAUGUGAGGCCCUAAGCCAGGGGAGGGCAAUUAUUUUGGGCAGAGAGGCGCUUAGUGAGUUUUGGCAAGCCAUCGAGAGCCACAUGACAGGCAGGUCAGAGCAGAUUAAUAUUAAUUUUCUAAAUUUUUUAGGCACCCCGUGGGCUGGAUAGAAUGGCCUGGCAGGCUGCAUCCAGCCCCCGGGCCACAUUUUGCCCACCCCUGCCCUAAGCUGUAUCAUACUUAGCUUGUGCCUAAAUCUGACACCGUGCAGCACCCUUGCUGAGAUUCACUGAUUUAUCUGGUUUACUUUGGUAAUACCUAAGAGCCAAAUGAGAGUUGGGUUCCACUGUGCAAACAGCAGAGUUUUUAAUCUCAACAGAGCAGACGGACACAGAGCAGGGGAAGCGACAGCACGUGGCAGUCGAGCGAACACUGUGAUGACGACAAACAUCACGUUUGUCCAAGGUUUGGGAGCUCUUACAGACUGGAGAGCUCUGAAGGAGCCACAAACUGGCCUACCCAGUGAAUGGAUAACAUUAAGACUGACUGCAAGGACCAUGUCUGAGAACUGUCACACUCCCAGAAAUCCCUAGCUUUCCUCCCACAUAGAGCUGCCAAAACCCUCUCUGAUGUCCACCAGGACUGUUCCCUGCACCUCUUCUUUCCUUACAGCAGUCUCUAUGUUGUUUUUUUUGAAAUGCUUGUCAGUCUUCACCAACCCACACUUUCUCAAUACCGUUGACACUCCAAGAAAGUGACAGUUAAUGAUUUGCUUGGGACACCUGCCAGGAGGGUUUCAACUGAACCCCAGUUUAUCCAAGACUGCCUACAAUGGCUUCCUUCUGGUAUAAACAGGAAUGCAGCAUCUUCACCGGUUCAGCCCGUUAGCCUUCUAAACUCAUUACCCUUCUAAUUCUAGCCAACUGUUCAAAGCCCUGCAGAAGGAUGUUAUUCAACAAUCUUUGAUCUCAUCAACAAUGCUGAAGAGAGCAAGAGAGGUUUCCAAGGAGUGCUAGAAGGCAAUGGGUAUAAUUACUGCCAUAACCAAGGCCGUGUGCACAGAUGGGUGGGCAAAUAGUUUGUGAUCCCAUGCAUUUCAAGACAGUAUCUCAGUGCUUCCAGUGUGAGUCUCCAUGUCAACAUUCAAAAUUCUUUAGAGACUCUCUCUUCCCCAACACAUUGUUCUGAACAAAACAAAGAAAGGGCUCACACAAAUGGGCUGAAAACAGCUCUCAUGUGGGUGUGCUAGAGAAGUUCUGUCAGAGCAGAAUUACUAGCCAGCUGCAAUAAAAACCACUACUUGCAAUCAAAUGGCCAGAUUGUAUUUCAAUUUAUUAAGCCUCUAAGUGAACCUAUGCACCUAACUGCGAUUCUAUUCUACCCUGUUCAAGUCCCUGAAAAUCCAUAUUGCAUCUACUUUUGUAACACACAAUCAUUUUACCCUUGAGAAUGAGUCACAGAAAAGCAGCAAAGAGGAGGAGGACCAUCAGCCUUUUGUAUUUUACCUGUUUUUAAGGAUUCCAGCAAGAUGAAACAGAAUUACACCUAUGCGCCCAAGCCCACUUACAUGCUGAAUAGGUGGGCUAGAAUCUGGGCUCACAUGCUUUGCUUCUUGGUAUCACAGCACUGUCAGCCUAAACACUCCUCCCUUGAUCACCUGCCCUGAAUCUGCAAAGACCUGAAGAGAGAGGAGGAAAGUGAAUCUGAGAAAAAACAUGUUCAAAAGUUUCCAUGUGGGUCAACAGACUGCAACUACAAGUAUGGAGUCUUGUUUUCUCCCAGGAGCAAACUGCCUACAGAAAGCUCCACUCCUGGAAAUUAGUAAGCAGAGGAGGCCCCUUCAGCCUCCUCUGUUAAAGGAAGAAAUCUAAGCAGGGACGCUUCACGGCCACUUCAGCAGAGCCACAUUGAACCUCUACAUCUAGAUAAUAAUCCUGUGUGAACCCACAGUUCCAAGUGCGCUCAGGCCCUUCAGCGAAACAACGCAGAUGUGGGCAUGUGCAGGAGGAAGGAAUUUGAUUGUGAAUCUCCUAGUAACAGCUCGUCCAAGUAGGAUGCAUUUUCAUUAUUAAGGUCUGGUUGCUGAUUUAUUAUGCAUUUCUUUCCUACAGUCCUGAGCAAGACUGGCUUUUUAAUUUUGUGUCUGUAGGUGGUGGUGCUCCUGAAGCAUCUUUCCUCUGCACUGUGCUGACAGUGGUCCUGAAACCUUCAGGCUUCUGUGGAAGGACAUGCUUGAAAGAGCAAGUGGAUUUGCAUUGUGCAUAUUAUUUUGAAGUUCACACAGGGAGUCUGAGAUGAUAAAUGCAUCCAGGUUUCAAGACCUAGUCCAGUGACUUAAAAUCAACCUUCCUAUUCCACCAAGGCAAUUGCAUAUUCUGCCAAGGCAAUUGCAGGCUAUCGAGUGUAAACUCCUCGGGACAGAAACUGCCUCUGUGUGCUCACAUCCGCCAAGAUAGGAAAGUAUUAUUGACAUUGAAUAAUGCAUUGGAGAGACCUCAUAUGAAAUACUGUGAAUAAUUCUGGUCACCUGUCUGCAAGAAAGAUGAGUUCACACUGAAUUACAUACAGAGAAGGGCUACUAGAGUGAUCAAGGGAAUGAAACCUAUCAUGCCAAGAGAAGAUUAAAAAGCUGGCUUGUUUAGCCUACCAAAACUAGCAGAGGCGGGCUCCGAUUGCUGUCUAAAAAACUUCAGGGGGUAAGCACCAGGGAAGGGGAAGCUAUGGAAACUAAAGAAUUCAGUGCUGGCACAAAAACCAAAGCAAUAUAAACUGGCCAGGAAAAAAAAAAAUCAGACUGGAAGUAAAAAGAGGAUUUCUGACUUCCAGAGGAAAAACCUCUAAAACUAUGGAGGCAAGAAACUUACCUAGAGUAAAGAUGGAACGUGGCAGGCUUAUAAAUAGGCACCUGAGAUGUAUUUCUCUAGGACAGCAAGGGAAUGGACUUGGUGAUCCAGAGGGUCCUUUCCAGCCUAAUGUUCAUACGGUCCUGUGACUAUGGGGGACCAUUUCUUUGUUGCUCCAUGAGUAAUACAAUAAUCAUCAUCUGUUGUUGCUGACAAUAUUAGCACAGCUCUGGUCAGGUGGCUGCAACCAACUUUAGAGGAAGCUUAAAACAAGACAUCACUUCAAACACUGGAAUGGUUCUGAAGCAGCCACUCAUCUGGAGUGUGGACAAACAGCUGACUAAUAUCUGUGCACGGAGAAAUUUUACCUAGCCAGGGAAAGGCCAUUACUCUCACCCACUCGGAUUUUUUACAGCCGAGCAGACCUAAACAGUGAUGGCUCCAAACAAACAGCUUUCCACAGUGGGUCAUUGAACACGAAUAGAACAGACUCAAACAACAGCCAGAUGGAAUUUGUGUAUGGAGAAAUGCUAGGUGAAAGGCACUUGAUAAAAGAAUUCCCCAAACUGAAAACAUUUUCUGAUCCUUGAGACAAAUGCAAUUGUCCACACAAUGCUAGUCACCCAGAGAAUGAUCUCAGCAGGAAUUCACCUUGUGUAACCUUCUUGCUUCAUUUAUUCUGACAUGAAGUUGUGUCACUGGAAAUUACUGCAGAGCAGACUUUUCUUGUUCGUGCCUUACACGUCAGAGUCUCAUUGAGUAGCUGUGGCAAUUUCGGUUCUUUCCGGUGCUAACACAGUCCAUGGAUGUUCAUGGGAGAUAUAUAAGCAAGAAUGUGUUGCAUAUACGUCCACAUUCCCCAGAAGUUCUUUGCCAGGCCUUUGACACAUGGACUGGAAACCAGAUCACCCAGGACCCUUUGCCUCCAAUUCUAGAUCCAGUUUCCUAAUGCCUUCAAGGGAACAGAAACGUUUGUUAGAUUCCUAACAUGGAAUGAUAGAGCAUCCUGAGAUGUUAUAACUUUGCCCUGCUCCUUCUCAUGGACAGCUAGCCCGGCAACAGUCAGAGGCCAGUUUCUGGAACAUGAUACAUGUCAUGGCCCUUGUACCAGAAUAUGGUACACCACCAAUUUGCAUCUCUCUCUGCAAUGGAAAACAACCUGGCACUGCCAAUCCUAAGGUUUUGCAAUAUCUCCUCCAGCCACUGAACAGAACAGGACCCAACUUCCCCUGGUCUUCAGAGAAGCAGGGCCCUGAGAUGCAGCUGGUGUGCAAGAAGGUUUCAGUGGGGUUAGGCAAUUACACGAUACCAAGAUAUGCCUCUCUUGAAAACCACUGUGAGCAGUCUGUCUCACUUCUCUGCUCCAAGCUCUGUAUCCCCGGCUCUGGCAGCUCAGAAACAUUCAUGAACCUUCUGAAGCUUUCCGAGGAACAGAAUCUUCAUAAAUUAAUCAAACCACGGCUUCAGCUUCCCUCUGUAUUUUAUAUGCCAUUUGCUGCUCUGGGCAUCUUGAGCUGAGCUGCUGAUUCUUCUGCCCAGCAGAUCGUUCCUUCCAUGAGGCCUUCUGCAGAAGCAGCUUUUAAUGAAUACACAGGGGGAAUCUGAAUCAAAAUUUCAUUUCUGGUGCCUUAAGCUGGGAAGUGUAAUGAUCUUCUUCCCAUGCUUUUCCAGUACAGAAGCUUAAACUCAAUACUCUGUCCUGCAAUUUAUAUAGGCCCAGUUGUCAGGAGUGGAAGGCACAAGAGGGUUGUUUUGCAAACGUAUCAGUGCUUCAAAAUCAGACUCCAUUUGACAGCGACAAACUGCUGUUGCUAAAUCCCCACCUAAGAAGACAAUGAGCUCACUCUUUCCUAGGACCAACAGCUAACAAGUUCCUCCCUUCUCCCUCAGAAAAUACCUUUACUAAGUGCCUUUAGCUUUCCUUUAGAGACAGAUUUCCAUGUAGAGCACUGGCCUCAGAGGGUGGUUAAACUACAACCUAUUUCCAUCCAGGACAGGCUCCCUCAUGUUGGAGCUCUGUCCACAUACUAACCAGUAGGCACUGACAGAAGUGACAUUUGUCGUGCGAUCAGGCCCCUGAGAGUGCUCUACAGCCAUGCUGUGACACGUGCACGGCUGCAGAGCACUUUAAAAGUGGCCAAUUAUGCAACAAAUUUAACCCUCAUCUAACGAAGGACCAGAUGAAGGCACGCCAAAGCAGAUUGCGUUAGGUAACCUCUGUCAAUUCCUGUGUACAAUUGGGGCUGGGUUGAUGCAGCCCAGCCCCAACCCCAGUGCUGUCUGCAGGAAGGGAGGAGGGAGAAGAGAAGGAAGGAGGGAGAAGAGAAGGGAGGGAACUGCAGGCUGGGGUUUGCCCAGCCUCAGCUGGAGGGGGCAGGUGGAUUGGGGCCCUGUGCCUUAUGUUACCACCCCCCAGCCCCCAGCUCCUUAUCCCUACUUUCAGACAGCACCUGAGUUGGGUGGGGGGAGGUGAGGAUAGGGGAGAGAGGCUGCAGGUAGGCAGCUCCUCUCUGCUAAAUCAGCUCCAAAGUGGAGCAUGAUCCUCCUUCCUCCCCCACCGCACCUACCUGCAAACAUCUGUUGGGGGGGGGGGGGGGGAUUCGCUCUAACUCAUGACGCUUUCUGUUAUGCACUAUGAGUUAGAUCAGGGAGUUGCACAUCUGUUUCUCUGCUGUGUUUUUACAAUGUUCCAGCAUUGAAAGCUCCCAGCAGUGAGACUAUGGGGACACUCAGCUCUUAUCAGGAAAGGUUUAAUAGAUAAGGAAAUGGUCUUGCCCUACAAUGGAAUCAGAAGAAGCAACUUGAGUCACCUAAGGACCUCAGUAAAUUUUAGUGGAACCAAGUUUCCCAGAGUCCUUUGCUGUGGUUCAAGCACCAUGGAAAUCAACUAGGAAGAAGGGGGCUUCAAACCAACAACGAGGCAAGGCCAUGGUCUGCAUGCCUUUUAGAAAAUGUUAAACUUCCACAGAAUCUGCUGGAGGUUUCAGGACCACUGUUGGCACAGUGCAGAGGGAAGAUGCACCAGGAACAUCCCUCUUCCCCCCACUUUCAGAAGACUACAGUUUAGGACUGUAGACAAGAGAAGUGUACUAAACCUUACUCACUUAAACCUUGACACUUUGAAAAUGUGCUUCUCCCACUUGGACUAGUUGUUACUAGAAAAUUCACAAUGUAAUCCCUUCCUCCCACAACUGCACAACACAGGAAUCUGGAAAUAAUCCACAGAAAAUGAGAAAUGAGGCAUGAAAUACAGAAACUCAUUCUUCCCACACAAUCAAUUGCAAAAGCAAAUUUGCUCCUCUCCUGCACAUAGUCCCAACACCAGAAAAUCCUAAGUAGAGGACAGCUACACAGAGAACUAAGCAGGUCGAUCUAACUUUUAGCAGCCUCUUCCCUACCUUUCCCCUUGCAAACAUAUCCCAAAGAGGAAAAUGCCAAAUACAGGAAAUGAGGGCACUAGGAAACAGAGGCAGCAGAUGGCAGCUGCUGAACUCCACCCCUUUCCAUGGGAGUGAUUUGGUCCCUCUUCAUUGCUCAGUGGUGUUGGUACUGAUUGCAAAGUAAAACACACCUUUAUGAUGACACAGCUUCUCUCUAUUCUUGGAAUCUGUGCUCCUGUCUGAGAUGCAAAAGGCAGGGCUUUUGCAUCCAAGAAGGAAGUGUGAGUAGCAGUAUAGGAGGGUUUAUUUUAAGGGGAGUUUCCUCUGAAUUUCUAUAGUGCUAUAGGUUUGUGGAGUCCUGGCAAAUUCUUUACUUUACACGGAAACUCUUCUGGGCUAGAGCAGUCCUUACUAUACAUUUGGAUAUGCAUAGCGUGGUAGGGCUGAGGCCUGUAAAAGCUGUUGUUAUAUAGGUAACCCAUGCCCCAAGCGUACAACAUAAUUCCUGCAGAUACAGUGGGUAAAGAUAGCAGCAACGAGCAAAGCUCGUAUCACAUUGUCAUGGAACUGAUAUGAUAAAGAGAAAAAAGACAGGUACCAUCUUGCUUUCUGUGCUACAUAACUAAUUACUGUUAACUAGAAAAGCUGGUUGGUUUUGGCAACUGAUUUGGGGCUUUCCCGGCUUAACUUAUUGUCCUCCAGUCCUUUGCUCACAUUUUAAUUGAAGCAUGCUUUGCUUUGCAUUAGCAGCCAUCUUGUAGCACAGGGCAGCCCUGACAACAGGCAAGAUGACCAGGGGGAGAUUUGCUAGGGGCCUGAAGGAGAAGAGAGUGAAUUACCUCCCACAAAAAGGCUCAUUUUCAUUGUUACCUUUGCAAUGAUCUUUGAACAAAAAGAUUAGCAUGUCCAGAACCACGCUGUAGUGCGCAAGUUUGUUAUUACCCUGAAAUAGAAUAGUUUUCUGAAAGCAUGCUGUUAGGUUUACAAUAAUUUGGAUUUUUUAAGAAGUAUUAGCUUUACAGCUGAAUACAAGGCAUGACCUGUGGCCUAGUAAUGCAGCUGACCACAAGGCAGAAUGAUAGCUAGGCCUUUGCUUGUGUCAAGUAAUCAUUUUAACUGCACCAAGCAUUUUCUGAGUUAAAAAGUGAAUCUGUGUCUGUGUGCUAAAAAAAUCAGCUACAGCAAGAAGUAAGAUAAGACAGAGAAACCAUUUUUUGAGCUUACUGGUUGUGUCCUUGAGAAGUAUCUUCUACUGUGUAAGGUUUUGCUAACAUAAUGUUACUGUUACUUAACUUUUAGCUUUUAAAAGUGCUAAUUCAGCUUAAUAGAAAUAUGCUGUUACAAAGAUUUGUAGAGCACUGCCCCAAGUAUUGCUUUUUGUUAACCAUAUAGUCUUGCUUUGUUGUAAGAAGUAUAAAAGAUCGCCUCACCCUUGAGGGGGGGCCAUUUUGCCUUUUGCUGGCUUUAUGGUCUUUGCUCGAGCAAAUAAACAGCUGUCUUUCUUUA